UAAUACGGAGGGUGCGAGCGUUGUCCGGAAUCACUGGGCGUAAAGGGCGCGUAGGCGGCUACUUAAGCGUGUGGUGAAAGUCCGGGGCUCAACCCCGGAUCGGCCGUGCGAACUGAGUGGCUCGAGCACUGUAGAGGCAGGUGGAAUUCCGGGUGUAGCGGUGGAAUGCGUAGAGAUCCGGAAGAACACCGGUGGCGAAGGCGGCCUGCUGGGCAGUGGCUGACGCUGAGGCGCGACAGCGUGGGGAGCAAACAGGAUUAGAUACCCUGGUAGUCCACGCCGUAAACGAUGGGCACUAGGUGCCUGGGGGAGCGACCCCCUGGGUGCCGUCGCUAACGCAUUAAGUGCCCCGCCUGGGGAGUACGGCCGCAAGGCUG
rnacentral:rRNA from 1 species